GCACAAGCGGUGGAGCAUGUGGUUUAAUUCGACGCAACGCGCAGAACCUUACCAGCCCUUGACAUCCCGGUCGCGGACUCCAGAGACGGAGUUCUUCAGUUCGGCUGGACCGGAGACAGGUGCUGCAUGGCUGUCGUCAGCUCGUGUCGUGAGAUGUUGGGUUAAGUCCCGCAACGAGCGCAACCCCCGUCCUUAGUUGCUACCAUUUAGUUGAGCACUCUAAGGAGACUGCCGGUGAUAAGCCGGAGGAAGGUGGGGAUGACGUCAAGUCCUCAUGGCCCUUACAGGCUGGGCUACACACGUGCUACAAUGGCGGUGACAACGGGACGCAAAGGGGCAACCCCUAGCAAAUCUCGAAAAGCCGUCUCAGUUCGGAUUGCACUCUGCAACUCGAGUGCAUGAAGUUGGAAUCGCUAGUAAUCGCGGAUCAGCACGCCGCGGUGAAUACGUUCCCGGGC
rnacentral:rRNA from 1 species